rnacentral:rRNA from 16 species
UAAUAAAGAAAUAAUAACUUUGUGAAUUGAAACAUCUAAUUAACAAAAGGAAAAAAAAUCAAUCGAGAUGUUAUUAGUAGUGGUGAGCGAAAAUGAUAUAGGCUUUAAAUAUUUUGAAUGUAUUUUGUGAGUAUAGUUUAAAUUUAAUUUAAUGAAAAAUAGCCAGGGAUCAAAAAAGAUCCUAUGAAGGUCCAAAGAAGGUGUUGAGUCCUGUAAUUAAAAUAGAAUAACUAUAUUUUUUAAGUAGAUCAAGUUGAAGAACUUGUUUGAACAUAGGAAAACCAUUUUCUAAGCCUAAACAUAUAUAAUAUAUUGAUAGAGUAUAGUACCAUAAGGGAACGAUGAAAAGCACCUUUAUAAACUGUUAUAUGGAGUGAAAUAGACUUGAAAUAAAGCACGUAAGAGCUAUUGGAGUAACUUUUGUUAUAACAAUGUACCUUUUGUAUAAUGGGUCGACGAGUUAAUUUAUUUAAUAAAUUUACAAUCUAAAUAGAUUUUAAAAUGUAGCGAAAGCGAGUUUGAAAUAAAGCAUUAGUUAAAUAAAUUAUCACCCGAAACUGGAUGAUCUAAUCAUGUACAGGA